AUUGAACGCUGGCGGCAGGCCUAACACAUGCAAGUCGCACGAGUGGCGGACGGGUGAGUAAUGUCUGGGAAACUGCCCGAUGGAGGGGGAUAACUACUGGAAACUGUGUCUAAUACCGCAUACCAUCGGAUGUGCCCAGUUGGGAUUAGCUAGUAGGUGGGGUAAAGGGUCACCUAGGCGACGAUCCCUAGCUUGUCUGAGAGGAUGACCAGACACACUGCAACUGAUACACGGUCCAGACUACUACGGGAGGCAGCAGUGGGGAAUAAUGCACAAUGGGCGCAAGCCUGAGGCAGCCAUGCCGCGUGUAUGAAGAAGUGCUUCGGGUUGUAAAGUACUUUCAGCGGGGAGGCGUUAGCAGCAGAAGAAGCACCGGCUAACUCCGUGCCAGCAGCCGCGGUAAUAC
rnacentral:rRNA from 1 species